rnacentral:misc_RNA from 1 species
AAGCUGAGUUAAAGAAUCUGGGAUCCCCCCUGAAAAAUUGUUGCGUGAAAUGUCCAGCUCUUGUAAACCUUGUAAAGCAAAUAAAACUUGCGGUAUAUCUCCAUCAAAUGAAUUUCCCUCCAGGCGAAGCUGUUCUAAAUUCGAACACUUGCCAAUUGUGCUAGGAAUCAUUCCAGAUAAUCUAUUAUCAGAUAAAUCCAACUGUGCUAGAUUUUGCAGCAAACCGAUCUCUGAUGGAAUAGGACCAGUAAGUUCAUUACCAGAUAAAUCCAGUAAAAUUGAAAGGGAUUUAAGGCCGAUAACCU